GACGAACGCUGGCGGCGUGCUUAACACAUGCAAGUCGAGGGCGUGGUGGGGCAACCUGCCACGACCGGCGAACGGGUGCGUAACACGUGAGCGAUCUACCCUGGUGUGGGGGAUAGCCGGCCCAACGGCCGGGUAAUACCGCAUACGCUCUUUGAGGGGCAUCCCUUGGAGAACAAAGUCUUCGGACGCACUGGGAGGGGCUCGCGGCCUAUCAGCUAGUUGGCGGGGUAACGGCCCACCAAGGCGGCGACGGGUAGCUGGUCUGAGAGGAUGGCCAGCCACAUUGGGACUGAGAGACGGCCCAGACUCCUACGGGAGGCAGCAGUGGGGAAUCUUGCGCAAUGGGCGAAAGCCUGACGCAGCGACGCCGCGUGCGGGAGGACGGCC
rnacentral:rRNA from 1 species